CGCGAAUAGCUCAUUACAACAGCUAUAAUUUACUUGAUCUUGACAAUCCUACUUGGAUAACUGUGGUAAUUCUAGAGCUAAUACAUGCACCAAAGCUCCGACCGCAAGGAAGGAGUGCAUUUAUUAGAACAAAACCAAGCACCUUCGGGUGUUUUUUGUUGACUCAGAAUAACUCAGCUGAUCGCAUGGUCUUGUACCGGCGACGUGUCUUUCAACUAUCUGCCUUAUCAACUUUCGACGGUAGCGUAUCGGACUACCAUGGCGGUGACGGGUAACGGAGGAUAAGGGUUCGACUCCGGAGAAGGGGCCUGAGAAAUGGCCACUACGUCUAAGGAUGGCAGCAGGCGCGCAAAUUACCCACUCUCAGCACACACUGAGGAGGUAGUGACGAGAAAUAACGAGACCGUUCUCUUUGAGGCCGGUCAUCGGAAUGGGUACAAUCUAAACCCUUUAACGAGUAUCUAUGAGAGGGCAAGUCUGGUGCCAGCAGCCGCGGUAAUUCCAGCU
rnacentral:rRNA from 1 species